UGAAUCUGGUCUUGGGACACUGUCAGGUGGGCAGUUUGACUGGGGCGGUCGCCUCCCAAAAGGUAACGGAGGCGCUCAAAGGUUCUCUCAGUACGGUCGGAAAUCGUACGUAGAGUGUAAAGGCAAAAGAGAGCUUGAUUGCAAGACAUACAGGUCGAGCAAGGAUGAAAAUCGGACUUAGUGAUCCGGUGGUUCUGCGUGGAAGGGCCAUCGCUCAACGGAUAAAAGCUACCCUGGGGAUAACAGGCUUAUCUCCCCC
rnacentral:rRNA from 1 species